GACGAACGCUGGCGGCGUGCCUAAUACAUGCAAGUUGAGCGCUGAAGGUCGGUACUUGUACCAACUGGAUGAGCAGCGAACGGGUGAGUAACGCGUGGGGAAUCUGCCUUUGAGCGGGGGACAACAUUUGGAAACGAAUGCUAAUACCGCAUAAAAACUUUAAACACAAGUUUUAAGUUUGAAAGAUGCAAUUGCAUCACUCAAAGAUGAUCCCGCGUUGUAUUAGCUAGUUGGUGAGGUAAAGGCUCACCAAGGCGAUGAUACAUAGCCGACCUGAGAGGGUGGUCAGCCACAUUGGGACUGAGACACGGCCCAAACUCAUACGGGAGGCAGCAGUAGGGAAUCUUCAGCAAUGGACGGAAGUCUGACCGCGCAACGCCGCGUGAGUGAAGAAGGUUUUCGGAUCGUAAAACUCUGUUGGUAGGGAAGAACGUUGGUGAGAGUGGAAAGAUCAUCGAGUGACGGUAACUAGCCAGAAAGGAACGGCUAACUACGUG
rnacentral:rRNA from 1 species